AUGGUGCUGUACCAAAUGCUUUGGCUAAUCUGAAGGCCCUUAACUAUUUGUAAGUUUCUAAAUUUAUCGUCAGAGGCUGCUGGCUAGCAACAUCAUGCAGACAACUUGAGAACAAUUUGUAGAUGUUGCAUGAAAUUGACUUGUUACCCUUUUUUACCUGUGUAUUUUAUUCAUUUCUAAUCUCCUUUUUCUAACUCCAUAAACAAAAGGCUUUUGUUUUUUCAUGUUAGUUGCCAAAAUUAGGAAUGCAGAUGGACCAGUUUACAACCCAAAGCAUUAGCUUGGGGUUUUCUUUAACCACAUCCUAUAACAUCCGAACUGAACUAAUAUGGCUUUACUCAUGCAAUCUGGUUUCCAAGGACCAAAGUUAUAGAGAUCAACAUGUAGCUACUUUUUUUUUAAUGAAAUUUCUUAUGAAAACAUAUCAAUAACUAAUGUAAUCCAUGUAUUUUGUCUCAGUGACUUGUCAAACAAUGAUUUAAUGGGCCCAAUACCGCCCUCUUUAGAAGAAUUGACAUCACUCAAUGUGCUGUAAGAACAGAUUUUUCUCUCUUACACAAUUCACCUGGUGCAUGCGUUUUCAAUAUCGAAAACUUCAAUUUUGUCGUGCACAUGCUUCAGGACUUCUCUCUCCACAUAUUAUAUGCUAAUGGUUGAGAAAGAUCAAACUUUUUGCAGAAUUUUGUCAAAUAACCGACUCAAUGGGCCUAUUCCAGCUUCUUUGUGUGAUGGACAAUCAAAAGGAUUACUUGAGUUGAGAGUGGACAACCAUCCGGAUAUAUGUCUCUGUCAUAGUACAUGUCAAAUUGGCAGCAAAGGAAGGAAGCUUGCUACAUUCACCAUUGUGCUGAUCGCUGUCGUCCCAGCGCUGAUUAUACUGCUGCUCCUAUCAUCGCUUUUAUUCUUCUUCUUGAGGAGAAAAAAAUCUGCAACAAAAUUAUGAUAGCUUGUCGCUCGUUAAAAUGUUAGAAUUGGGCUAAGGCAAUGGAAAGCUAUUCAAAUUAUUGACAGGUCUUUCUGGGUUGUUAUAUUGUGGUUAUUGUAUAAGUAUAUUUUGCAUGUAAUGAAAUGUGUCAGCAAAUUUGGAUUGAUAUAUCAUGUAAAAGCUUUAAAAGAUCUUAUGUUUGAGAUUUUAGAAGGUUAAGUUAGUUUUACAAUGAUAUAAACUUAUGGUAAAUAUUUGGAGUUUUGAUUGUAUAAAUUCUUAUGCUUGUGGAUUUAUAAGUGUGGUUAAUGAUUGUUAAGUUUGCUUGAA